rnacentral:rRNA from 1 species
UUCGGUGACUAUUGCGUGGGGGUUCCACCUCUUCCCAUUCCGAACAGAGAAGUUAAGCCCCACUGCGCCGAUGGUACUGCCGACCGGUGGGAGAGUAGGUCGUCGCCGAAA